rnacentral:rRNA from 1 species
AGCGAACGCUGGCGGCAGGCUUAACACAUGCAAGUCGAGCGGGCACUUUCGGGUGUCAGCGGCGGACGGGUGAGUAACGCGUGGGAACGUGCCCUCUGGUUCGGAAUAACUCAGGGAAACUUGAGCUAAUACCGGAUACGCCCUUUUGGGGAAAGGCUUGCUGCCGGAGGAUCGGCCCGCGUCUGAUUAGCUAGUUGGUGAGGUAACGGCUCACCAAGGCGACGAUCAGUAGCUGGUCUGAGAGGAUGAUCAGCCACACUGGGACUGAGACACGGCCCAGACUCCUACGGGAGGGAGCAGUGGGGAAUAUUGGACAAUGGGCGCAAGCCUGAUACAGCCAUGCCGCGUGAGUGAUGAAGGCCUUAGGGUUGUAAAGCUCUUUUAUCCGGGACGAUAAUGACGGUACCGGAGGAAUAAGCCCCGGCUAACUUCGUG